UCCAGAGAGCAAUCCUUCAUCCCCAAGCAGCCUACCUAGUCCUCCUGAAAGGAAUAUCAAGAAGAUGGAUGGGACCUACGGGUAAGCUGACCCGCUAGAAGCAUGCCAUCCCUGAUAUCCUUUGGUGCGAACUAGUUACUGCCAAGGGAGUCUUUUCUAAAUGAAGCUUUCUUCCACAUGGGGUGGAUGUUGCCCCUCGG
rnacentral:lncRNA from 1 species